rnacentral:rRNA from 1 species
UACGAAGGGUGCAAGCGUUACUCGGAAUUACUGGGCGUAAAGCGUGCGUAGGUGGUUUGUUAAGUCUGUUGUGAAAGCCCCGGGCUCAACCUGGGAAUGGCAAUGGAUACUGGCAAGCUAGAGUGCGGUAGAGGGUAGUGGAAUUCCCGGUGUAGCGGUGAAAUGCGUAGAGAUCGGGAGGGACACCAGUGGCGAAGGCGGCUACCUGGACCAGCACUGACACUGAGGCACGAAAGCGUGGGGAGCAAACAGG